CUAGGCCUACGGGGGGCAGCAGUGAGGAAUAUUGGUCAAUGGGCGCAAGCCUGAACCAGCCAAGUCGCGUGAGGGAUGACGGUCCUAUGGAUUGUAAACCUCUUUUGUCGGGGAGCAAGGCCCGCCACGUGUGGCGGGAAGGAGAGUACCCGAAGAAAAAGCAUCGGCUAACUCCGUGCCAGCAGCCGCGGGAAUACGGAGGAUGCGAGCGUUAUCCGGGUUUAUUGGGUUUAAAGGGUGCGUAGGCGGAAGGUUAAGGC
rnacentral:rRNA from 1 species